CACGGAGUUAGCCGGUGCUUCUUCUGCGGGUAACGUCAAUUGCCGUGGUUAUUAACCACAACACCUUCCUCCCCGCUGAAAGUACUUUACAACCCGAAGGCCUUCUUCAUACACGCGGCAUGGCUGCAUCAGGCUUGCGCCCAUUGUGCAAUAUUCCCCA
rnacentral:rRNA from 1 species